UACGUAGGUGGCAAGCGUUGUCCGGAAUUAUUGGGCGUAAAGCGCGCGCAGGCGGUCCUUUAAGGCUGAUGUGAAAGCCCACGGCUCAACCGUGGAGGGUCAUUGGAAACUGGGGGACUUGAGUGCAGAAGAGGAAAGCGGAAUUCCACGUGUAGCGGUGAAAUGCGUAGAGAUGUGGAGGAACACCAGUGGCGAAGGCGGCUUUCUGGUCUGUAACUGACGCUGAGGCGCGAAAGCGUGGGGAGCAAACAGG
rnacentral:rRNA from 1 species